rnacentral:rRNA from 1 species
AGAGUUUGAUCCUGGCUCAGGACGAACGCUGGCGGCGUGCCUAAUACAUGCAAGUCGAACGAGAAUUUCUUACACCGAGUGCUUGCACUCACCGUAAGAAAUUCGAGUGGCGGACGGGUGAGUAACACGUGGGUAACCUGCCCAAAAGAAGGGGAUAACAUUUGGAAACAAAUGCUAAUACCGUAUAACCAUGAUGACCGCAUGGUCAUUAUGUAAAAGGUGGUUUUGCUAUCGCUUUUGGAUGGACCCGCGGCGUAUUAACUAGUUGGUAGGGUAACGGCCUACCAAGGUGAUGAUACGUAGCCGAGUUGAGAGACUGAUCGGCCACAAUGGGACUGAGACACGGCCCAUACUCCUACGGGAGGCAGCAGUAGGGAAUCUUCCACAAUGGGCGCAAGCCUGAUGGAGCAACGCCGCGUGAAUGAAGAAGGUCUUCGGAUCGUAAAAUUCUGUUGUUAGAGAAGAAUAUGAGUAAUAGUAACUGAUUAUUCACUGACGGUAUCUAACCAGCAAGUCACGGCUAACUACGUGCCAGCAGCCGCGGUAAUACGUAGGUGGCAAGCGUUGUCCGG